GGAUGUGAGGGCGAUCUGGCUGCGACAUCUGUCACCCCAUUGAUCGCCAGGGUUGAUUCGGCUGAUCUGACUGGCUAGGCGGGUGUCCCCUUCCUCCCUCACCGCUCCAUGUGCGUCCCUCCCGAAGCUGCGCGCUCGGUCGAAGAGGACGACCAUCCCCGCUAGAGGAGGACCGGUCUUCGGUCAAGGGUAUACGAGUAGCUGCACUCCCCUGCUAGAACCUCCAAACAAGCUCUCAAGGUCCAAAGCUCUUGCUGCCCUCAGCCUCCGCAACCCCAUCGGCCCGUGCUUCCUGGAGGCGUGCAGC
rnacentral:snRNA from 1 species